rnacentral:rRNA from 1 species
UACGGAGGGUGCGAGCGUUGUCCGGAAUCAUUGGGCGUAAAGGGCGCGUAGGUGGCCCGGUCAGUCUUUGGUGAAAGCGCGGGGCUCAACCCUGCGUCGGCCAGGGAUACUGCCGCGGCUCGAGCACUGUAGAGGCAGGCGGAAUUCCGGGUGUAGCGGUGGAAUGUGUAGAGAUCCGGAAGAACACCGGUGGCGUAGGCGGCCUGCUGGGCAGUUUUGCUGACACUGAGGCGCGACAGCGUGGGGAGCAAACAGG